GGCGCAGGGUAAUUGGUGUCAUUUAAUAUAUGUGUGAAUCGUACUUAUUUUAUAUCGACUUCAUACCAAUGUAUAACAACAAGAUCUCGAUAUUUUCAAACUGUGGUACAAUUACAUACAAUCAACAUGUGAGUAUCUGAUAUUUUUGUUUAAUCUGAAAUUGUUUAUUUUAUUGGGUUUGUUUUGCAUUUCGCUAUUUCUUAUUUGAUCGUAAUUAUUUGUAUGUGAACUCAUCUUUGAAAGAGUGGCGAAAGAUACAAGAAGGACAUUGAGUUAGCCCCGAUUGAGUCCUUUUUUCUUCUAUUUAUUUCUUAUGUCUUUUUAAGUUGCUUUUGUAUUUCAUCAAACAAAAACGAAUACUACCAAUGUUUUGCUAAUAAUAACAAAAAAAGGCGGCAGAUCCUUAUCAUGUAUAUACGGUCAAAAAAGCAGAAUGAAAAUUAGUUCGCCAUUUAUAUUUCCCUUCUUCCAAUCUAUGGUUCUUUUUUUUUUUAUCUUUAAACGAACUAUCUUAACUAAAUAAUAACUAAAAAGAAC
rnacentral:lncRNA from 1 species